rnacentral:tRNA from 1 species
GUUAGUGAAGCAUAAUCAGGCCAUGCAAAAGACCUAAACCCUUUUUCUAGGGGUUCAAAUCCCCUCCCUAACU